rnacentral:rRNA from 1 species
CCUUCGGGUCGUAAAGCUCUGUCGGAGGGGACGAAAAUGCGAACAGUUAAUAGCUGUACGUACUGACGGUACCCUUAGAGGAAGCACCGGCUAACUUCGUGC